rnacentral:rRNA from 1 species
CCUACGGGAGGCAGCAGUGGGGAAUCUUGCACAAUGGGCGAAAGCCUGAUGCAGCAACGCCGCGUGAGCGAAGAAGGCCUUCGGUUCGUAAAGCUCUGUCCUCAAGGAAGAUAAUGACGGUACGUUACUAAGAAGCCCCGGCUAACUACGUGCCAGCAGCCGCGGUAAUACGGAGGGGGCUCGCGUUAUCCGGAAUUACGGGGCGUAACGGGUGCGUAGGUGGUUUCUUAAGUCAGAGGUGAAAGGCUAAGGCUAAACCGUAGUAAGCCUUUGAAACUGGGAAACUUGAGUGCAGGAGAGGAGAGUGGAAUUCCGAGGGUAGCGGGGAAAUGCGUAGAUAGUAGGAGGAACACCAGUGGCGAAGGCGGCUCUCUGGACUGUAACUGACACUGAGGCACGAAAGCGUGGGGAGCAAACAGGAUUAGAUACCCCUGUAGUC